ACGUUCGGGUAAUCGCUGUAAGUUUUAUUCUUGCAGAGGAAAGUCCAUGCUCGCACGGUGCUGAGAUGCCCGUAGUGUUCGUGCUUGGCGAAGUCAUAAGCCAAGGCAUCCUUUGAAUAAGGGUGACGGCAGGGAAAACAGCUAAGCCAUUUGGUAUGCUGUGACUACCUUGAAAGUGCCACAGAGACGUAGUUCUGUCGGAAACGGCAGAAGUGGAACGAGGUAAACCCCUCGAGCGAGAAACCCAAAUGAUGGUAGGGGCGCCUUCUCAAAGGAAUUCAACGGAGAGAAGGGCGAGGUGAUAAGCCUCGAAGAUAGAUGAUUACCACCGGAGUACGAGGCAAUUUGCCGCUUGCAGUACGAUGGAACAAAACAUGGCUUACAGAA
rnacentral:RNase_P_RNA from 1 species